AAAUGAAUAGACGGGGGCCCGCACAAGCGGUGGAGCAUGUGGUUUAAUUCGACGCAACGCGAAGAACCUUACCAGGUCUUGACAUCCUCUGACAACCCAAGAGACUGGGCUUUCCGCCUUCGGGUGGACAGAGAGACAGGUGGUGCAUGGUUGUCGUCAGCUCGUGUCGUGAGAUGUUGGGUUAAGUCCCGCAACGAGCGCAACCCUUAUUCUUAGUUGCCAUCAGGUAGAGCUGGGCACUCUAAGGAGACUGCCGGUGACAAACCGGAGGAAGGUGGGGAUGACGUCAAAUCAUCAUGCCCCUUAUGACCUGGGCUACACACGUGCUACAAUGGCCUGUACAGAGGGUAGCGAAGCCGUGAGGUGGAGCCAAUCCCAAAAAGCAGGUCUCAGUUCGGAUUGUAGGCUGCAACUCGCCUACAUGAAGUAGGAAUCGCUAGUAAUCGCAGGUCAGCAUACUGCGGUGAAUACGUUCCCGGGCCUUGUACACACCGCCCGU
rnacentral:rRNA from 1 species